rnacentral:rRNA from 1 species
GUGUCAGCCGCCGCGGUAAUACAGAGGGUGCAAGCGUUAUCCGGAUUUAUUGGGCGUAAAGCGUUUCGUAGGCGGUCAGGAAAGUUAUUCUUCAAAUACCACGGCUCAACCGGGGGAAGGGGAGUAAUACUGUCUGACUUGGUUUUUGGUGGGGCUUCUGGAACUGAUGGUGUAGUAGUGAAAUACGUUGAUAUCAUCAGGAACUCCGAGGGCGAAGGCAGGAAGCUAACCAAUUAACGACGCUGAGGAACGACAGCUAGGGGAGCGAAAGGGAUUAGAUACCCUGGUAGUCC